CAGCAGCCACGGGAAUACGUAGGUGGCAAGCGUUGUCCGGAAUUAUUGGGCGUAAAGGGCUCGCAGGCGGUUUCUUAAGUCUGAUGUGAAAGCCCCCGGCUCAACCGGGGAGGGUCAUUGGAAACUGGGAAACUUGAGUGCAGAAGAGGAGAGUGGAAUUCCACGCGUAGCGGUGAAAUGCGUAGAGAUGUGGAGGAACACCAGUGGCGAAGGCGACUCUCUGGUCUGUAACUGACGCUGAGGAGCGAAAGUGUGGGGAGCGAACAGGAUUAGAUACCCCUGUAGUCCCUGUCUCUUAUAC
rnacentral:rRNA from 1 species